rnacentral:rRNA from 1 species
UUGAACGCUGGCGGCAGGCCUAACACCUGCAAGUCGAGCGGAUGAAGGGAGCUUGCUCCUGGAUUCAGCGGCGGACGGGUGAGUAAUGCCUAGGAAUCUGCCUGGUAGUGGGGGAUAACGUCCGGAAACGGGCGCUAAUAUCGCAUACGUCCUGAGGGAGAAAGUGGGGGAUCUUCGGACCUCACGCUAUCAGAUGAGCCUAGGUCGGAUUAGCUAGUUGGUGGGGUAAAGGCCUACCAAGGCGACGAUCCGUAACUGGUCUGAGAGGAUGAUCAGUCACACUGGAACUGAGACACGGUCCAGACUCCUACGGGAGGCAGCAGUGGGGAAUAUUGGACAAUGGGCGAAAGCCUGAUCCAGCCAUGCCGCGUGUGUGAAGAAGGUCUUCGGAUUGUAAAGCACUUUAAGUUGGGAGGAAGGGCAGUAAGUUAAUACCUUGCUGUUUUGACGUUACCAACAGAAUAAGCACCGGCUAACUUCGUG